CACGCCGUAAACUAUGGAUGCUAGCUGUUUGGAGUAUCGACCCUCUGAGUAGCGAAGCUAACGCGUUAAGCAUCCCGCCUGGGGAGUACGAUCGCAAGAUUAAAACUCAAAGGAAUUGACGGGGACCCGCACAAGCGGUGGAGCGUGUUCUUUAAUUCGAUGUUAAACGAAGAACCUUACCCAGACUUGACAUCCUUGGAAUUUUUAUGAAAGUAAAAAGUGCCUUUGGAACCAAGUGACAGGUGU
rnacentral:rRNA from 1 species